UUGUGAUAAAGACCUCUUUUCUGUCCAAGUCAACUGCUUCAUUAUUGCGACUGUUUGUGUCACGCAUUUUUCUUGCAAAGUGUUGGGAGUUCGGGAGUUAGUAGUAAGAAAUACUGGAAUAUAAGAAGGAGCAAAUCGAUGGUACAGUUGCUGUGAACAAUUUUCAAGGCCAAGCUGAUUGUGAAAGUUAUUGCGGGGAAACUUCAAAGAGAAUAGCAGGACGUGCUUGAAUGGUUUGCAAUAAAACAAAGUUACCUCCUGACUCGCUGUGGACGGAGGUCACGAUUGCGUUGGUGGGAAUUAAUUGACUUUUUCAGCAAAACACUGAUGACGAAAUGUCCAUUUUUAUUCAAAUAUAGUAGAUGUUUAACGGUAAAGACGCAUUCUUGCAUGUGCAAAAUGAUUCUGGUUUUGAAAAUGGAUAACAAUUUAGUGGAAAUUUCACGUUUAUGUAUCUUCAGUUUAUUGUCGCACCGGGAGUGCUUCAUGUGAAAACAUUUUCUUUGAAUCCUCCCAGACAGGGAAGAUUUUCUGCAUAAUGUUUAACAAUAACUGCUGUGUCAGUUUACUCAAUGUUUUAAUCAUUGUAAAAACAAUAAAAAAAUGUACACUUGUACUGAUUAUCUCAAACGUGGGGGUUCGGCCAUAGAUAGAAUUCUACACUGUUGUGUCUGGAAGAAUUACCGACACGCGUGAAAACGACCAACCUGUUCCCGGUUGAAAUCGACAGACUUGACUGACAAGCUUGUGCUGCACCCUCAGAACAAGUUGUCGACAAUACUGUUGCAGCGUUGUGCAUUUGUAACGUACGGUAAAAGUUGUCGACAAUACUGUUGCAGCGUUGUGCAUUUGUAACAUACUGUAAAAGUUGUCGACAAUACUGUUGCAGCGUUGUGCAUUUGUAACAUACGGUAAAAGUUGUCGA